GGAGUUUGGACCGUGUCUCAGUUCCAAUGUGGGGGACCUUCCUCUCAGAACCCCUACUGAUCGUUGGCCAGGUGGGCCGUUACCCCGCCUGCAACCUAAUCAGACGCAUCCCCAUCCCAUAGCGAUGAAUCUUUGCUCCAACUUAGAUGCCUGCAUUGGAGAACAUAGGGAAUUAAUCCGACUUUCGCCGGGCUAUUCCCUAGCAAGGGGAAGGUUGGAUACGCGUUACUCACCCGUGCGCCGGUCGCCAUCAAAGUUUGCAAGCAAACUUCAUGCUGCCCCUCGACUUGCAUGUGUUAAGCCUGUAGCUAGCGUUCAUC
rnacentral:rRNA from 1 species